GUAAAACGUGGUGAUGUGGCUUGAUGGGGUUUUAGCUAGAAUCAGGAUAAGUGCGCACUUAUUAUUCUGGUUAUUCUAGGUAGAAGUCCAUCUAAGCUAAAAAUAUAAGGAUUUUUAUGCAAUCUGGCACAGGUCCGAGACCUCAUAGGAACUGGAGCCUUUUUUCGCCAUUAUAAUACAAGGAACAUACUGUGGACCCAACUUGGCGUUGAAGACUUUGCUUGCUGACGAUUGACCAAAGGUUCGCUUGAAGACCCUCUGACCAAUGUCGAAGGUUGGUAUGCUGGAAAUAUUGGCAGCUAACAUGGCGAUUCGACAAUCUUCGCGGGUGUUACGAAACAGAACGUCAAAUUUCCGUUUCUCAUCCCACGGACACGAAAGACUACGGAAGAUCCGGACCAUAUCUAAAUAGUAGUCCUGGAAUUUCUCCCUGGCACCUUGUUUCCUACUAUUAGCCUGCCGUUCGUACACGUAAUCGAUAUCAACGGGCGAUGUCGGAGUCUUCUCUCCAACUGACUACGCGGAGCAUCCAGGUUUAUGUUGCGAAUUUGAAGUUCGUGUUCAAGCUCAUCCACCGCUAAGUGGGCUGUAUUCAUCGCAUGAUACUGCGCUGCUAAAUGAGAGUGUUCCAUCGCUAC